GACAGAGGGUGCAAGCGUUAAUCGGAAUUACUGGGCGUAAAGGGCGCGUAGGCGGGAGAUUAAGUGAGAUGUGAAAGCCCUGGGCUCAACCUAGGAAUGGCAUUUCAAACUGAUUUUCUGGAGUAGGGUAGAGGGGUGUGGAAUUCACGGUGUAGCGGUGAAAUGCGUAGAUAUCGUGAAGAACAUCGACGGCGAAGGCAGCACUCUGGGCCCAUACUGACGCUGAGGCGCGAAAGCGUGGGGAGCGAACAGG
rnacentral:rRNA from 1 species